UACGUAGGGUGCAAGCGUUAAUCGGAAUUACUGGGCGUAAAGCGUGCGCAGGCGGUUAUGCAAGACAGAGGUGAAAUCCCCGGGCUCAACCUGGGAACUGCCUUUGUGACUGCAUAGCUAGAGUACGGUAGAGGGGGAUGGAAUUCCACGUGUAGCAGUGAAAUGCGUAGAUAUGUGGAGGAAUACCGAUGGCGAAGGCAGCCCCCUGGGUUAACACUGACGCUCAGGCACGAAAGCGUGGGGAGCAAACAGG
rnacentral:rRNA from 1 species